UGGAGGCAGCAGUGGGGAAUUUUGGACAAUGGGCGCAAGCCUAAUCCAGCCAUACCGCGUGAGUGAAGAAGGCCUUCGGGUUGUAAAGCUCUUUCGGCAGGAAAGAAAUCGUGCAAUCUAAUAAAUUGUAUGGAUGACGGUACCUGAAGAAGAAGCACCGGCUAACUACGUGCCAGCAGCCGCGGUCAUACGUAGGGUGCGAGCGUUAAUCGGAAUUACUGGGCGUAAAGCGUGCGCAGGCGGUUUUGUAAGACAGACGUGAAAUCACCGGGCUUAACCUGGGAACUGCGUUUGUGACUGCAAGGCUAGAGUGUAGCAGAGGGGGGUAGAAUUACACGUGUAGCAGUGAAAUGCGUAGAUAUGUGGAGGAAUACCGAUGGCGAAGGCAGCCCCCUGGGCUAACACUGACGCUCAUGCACGAAAGCGUGGGGAGCAAACAGGAUUAGAUACCCGUGUAC
rnacentral:rRNA from 1 species